UGUUUAUUAAGAGAACGUGUGUGUAUUAUCAGCAGGAUAAAGGUUGUUUAUUAAGAGAACGUGUGUCAGCAGGAUAAAGGUUGUUUAUUAAGAGAACGUGUGUGUAGUAUCAGCAGGAUAAAGGUUGUUUAUUAAGAGAACGUGUGUGUAUUAUCAGCAGGAUAAAGGUUGUUUAUUAAGAGAACGUGUGUGUAGUAUCAGCAGGAUAAAGGUUGUUUAUUAAGAGAACGUGUGUGUAGUAUCAGCAGGAUAAAGGUUGUUUAUUAAGAGAACGUGUGUGUAGUAUCAGCAGGAUAAAGGUUGUUUAUUAAGACAACGUGUGUGUGUAGUAUCAGCAGGAUAAAGGUUGUUUAUUAAGAGAACGUGUGUGUAGUAUCAGCAGGAUAAAGGUUGUAUGGUGUGAGUGUAGCACAUGGGGGAUGUGGGAAACUUACUCCUCAGCCUGAAGUGUCACCUCUUGUGCAGCCGAGUUGUUAACGCUUCGAUGGCGCCGACUGGAAAGACGCUUCGGGAGGGUGGUCACGUGUGCUAGCGAAGCAGAUGUCCUGGGUUCGAGCGUCCGUGUGAGCCCGAUCAGGAGGAAGAGGUACUCGCUGAGUCAGCAGAGUGACGUCAGUUAUCAGAAUGCUGCUGUUACCUUGGUUUACCUCUAUGAACUGAACUGGAAAAGACACUGAAUCAACUGUCAAAGGACUUCUGGCCUUUUCUCUGCUUAAAGCACAUGAUAUCAUAAUGUCUGGUAUGUGAAUAUUGAAUAAGAUAUUAUUUCAGAAAAUGUCAAGGUACAUGUAUAUAAGAAUAUUAUAUACUUUGACGUGUCCAUCUAUUUAAAUAUUUUAACAACAGUGAACACUAACCUGGUGUUUGUUGGUUGAAGC